rnacentral:lncRNA from 1 species
UUCAAUAAAUUAUUUUAUUAAAUAACUCACAUAAUAUAAAUCAAAUUCCAUAAAGAAAAGUAUCAAUAAUAACAAACAUCACAUAUUCAAAUUUAAACUAUAUAUGGUAACUUAAACAUAAUACAAUCUAGAGUAGUUCCAUAAUAAAAAAAAAAUAUACAAAAGUGCUAAGUAUUUGCUAAGUGAUUCGAAUUGUUGUCAUCUGGUGAUACUCUUACAUCCACAGUGAAGUAGGCUCACUCUUAGCAUCACUAUGCUGAAACAUUGCAAUAAAAAUACUUCAGAAAACGCUUAUAAACAACUAGAAUUUUUCUAAAAGGAUAAAUGAAAAACUCUAGUGACAUGAAAAAGACAAAAGCUUCAAAUUAAAUCUCUUACACAUAAAUGUCCGGUACUUGGUUUAACACAAACAUUCCACUGAAUUUGUUAGAUAUUCACUUGAAUAAGAGCUAAAGUACAAAGUAAUUACCGCACAUCUCAUCACAAGCUACUCUAUCUGGCAGCAUAAAUUCUACCGAUAUAUUCAUGAUAAUUACUAAUUAUCAAAAUACAAGUUACCUCUAUAGGAUUCUAACAUUAGGACAUAAUCAAAUCUUUAAGGCAUGGAUUCCCCUAGUAUAUGUAUCAGUAACAACUGCGAAAGAGUAUGUUACAAAUUACUCUAUAUUACUUAACAUUAUCUGGGGGAAAGACAGGAAAGGAUUGAAAAUUUAGGAGAUAACUUAUGUGACAUCUCAACUAUCGAAACUGAACUAUCGAAAUUCUUUAAGUUUGGCUGAUUAGUUUCUUUCAGUUGUUCUUCUUCAUCAAUUAACCAUAUCACAGUAUCCUUCAAAACUACCACUUUCAUGCAAAUCCAAAAGUCUAGUGCUUUAAGAAAACGAUAUUGGUAGGCUAAUUAAAAUAAUUAGUACCUGUAGUUCAUGUAAUUGGAGUUGGAAAAGUAGCUAGCAGAAUCAAUUCUCACAAUAAGAAUGCCAAGGAUCUUUGUUGUUUCUUAUAUUGCAGUAUAAUUCUGUAAACAAUAGUGUUAAGGGAUAAAAGAAAUUCAUAGGCAAUCAAUUUAUUUAAGCUGUGAAUUUAGACUUAUAUCUAAAGUUUUCGUUUACCUGUAGCCAUAUAGCAAGAUGUCAUUGAACUAACCAUGUUCAUUUGUUCCGAAGGCUACCAUUUUUUUGUUUCAAUCCAACUGGAUUCAAUGCUGCAAAUAUUCUUCAAUGGUUGUAGCUUCCUAUAAUAAAGAAGUAUGUUAUAUAAAUUAAGUUUUCUCUAAAAAGAAUGUCUAGCCAAAAAAGCUAAGAAACAUAACUUACUCACCAAUGCUAUCAUACAGCCCAUCAAACCUUUGCACUAGUGGAGGAUUUAUCUUGCGAUGGAUGUGCAUCACCUUGACAUUAUAAACAAAAUGCAAGGCACAACAAAAAAAUUAUUGACCAAUAAAAUAAGAAUCAUUAAAAUUUGAUUUACUGUAAUUACAUACAUGAUUUCCUGUUAUUAAAUUCAACUAUCUAAAGCAACAUUGAAGAGGCAGAAAACAUCAAAAAACUAGAAUUAGCAAAAGUGCAAAAACAAAAAGGAAAAGAACUUCCCCUUUUUAAUUUUGUGCAAAUAAAAAAUGCUAAACUGGAAAUCACACUAAAUCCUAAAAACAUCUACAUGAAUGGAUACAUAAUUACCAUGCUUCUUUCACUCAAAAAGGCCAUGUACCAUGAAAAGGGAAAUGGAAGAAUAUGACAAAGUUACUUCAAUAUGAUCUCUAGCACUUACUCUAGCUAGUUAUUGAAUAGCUUUUAUAAUGACAAGACAUGUUCAGAUUUUAAAUAAGGCUUAAAAAAGACAAGCUGGAACUGUUAGCCAAAGUUUAAUGUUGUACUCUAGUUAAUGUAAGACGAUGAUGGCUCACCAAGCUUGUAUUCAGAAAUAAAAGAUAGAGCCCUUAUUGCACAAGGAUAGAAACAACUUGUCCGUCAAAGGAUAAGAGUGACGGCCAGGUUGCUCCAGCAAUUAAUUCAUAGAUAAAUUGCUCAAAAGUACUGUUGAAAUAGUUUUGGAUAAACAAAGUCCAAACACAUUUGUACAUGUAAACAAACAGCAAGGAAUGCUUUACCAUGGUGAUUAGCUCAAAUCCUGGAUGAUUGAUCCUUUGCUUAAUACCCUUUGAUUCAGUGGAUAAUUAUAUACAACAACCUGCACGUGGUAUAAAACUUCAUGUAAUUGUACUCAUAUUUCAUAUACAAGAAUGCAGUAGUUGCAUACAUACAACAUAACCUAUUUGAUGUCCUUUUAGACUAAUUAAAGAACAAAAUAUUCUCAGAUGUUGCAAAGUAUUUACUUGAAAAGCUUCAUGCAGUGCAUAAUAUAAGUCAUCCAAGAUCCAAAGAAUAUAAUCAUCAAACCCCAUAAAAGGGGAAUAACACGAAAUAGAAAAAGUGCAUAGCGUUGUACCGGGUUCACGAUCCUAAGCACAUAAUCCAUCCAAUAACAAAAAUACAGACAACUUCAAUCAUCCUUAAAGAUAAAAGAUCUUCCAAAUACUACCUAAUACAAAUAUACAACCUCUCAGUAGAGAUCCUUCUUUUCAAAAGCCCGCACUCAUUUCUUCCACAACGACGACUCUUAAAAGUGUAAAAUUUGCGAUUGAACCUCGAAAAUAGAGGAACCCACACAACAAUUGAACCAAAAUAUAACCCAGUACUUGUAAUAAUACAUUGAUCCAAAUUCUAAAGGCAUAUCGAAAAUAAUUUCGGGUACGAACUCUACAUUAGAAAGUAAACAAAGACGAUUCAGAGCAAAGAAAAUAAGAAGAGUAUGAUAAAGUACAAACCUUUAUUGUUCGGAUUGCGCCGAAUUAUUUUGUAGAGAAGAUGAUGACGAGAGGGAAUUGAGCCCUGCUAUGAUGAAGAAAGGAAAUUAAGCCCUGCUAAUUUGUGAGUUGAAG